AACGAACGCUGGCGGCAUGCCUAACACAUGCAAGUCGAACGAUCCCUUCGUGGGUGGUUGCGCACGGGUGCGGAACGCGUGGGAACCGUCCCUUAGGUUCGGAAUAACUCAGAUAAGUUUGAGCUAAUACCGGGUAAUUUCUUCUGACCAAAGAUUUAUCGUCUUUGUGUGCGCCCGCGUUGUUUGAGCUUGGUGGUGGUGUAAAAGCCUAUCAAGGCGUCGAUCCAUAGCUGGUCUGAGAGGAUGAUCAGCGACACUGGGACUGAGACACGGCCCAGAAUAUUACGGGAGGCAGCAGUGGGGAAUCCAGGAAAACGGGCGAAAGGAUGAACCAGCACUGCUGGGUGAGUGAUGAAGGCCUUAGAGUUGUACAGCUCUUUUACCCGCGAUGAUAAUGACAGUACCGGGAGAAUAAGCACCGGCUAACUUCGUG
rnacentral:rRNA from 1 species